rnacentral:rRNA from 1 species
UACGGAGGGUGCGAGCGUUGUCCGGAAUCAUUGGGCGUAAAGGGCGCGUAGGUGGCCCAGUAAGCGUGCGGUGAAAGCUCGGGCUCAACCCCGAGUCGGCCGUGCGAACUACUGGGCUGGAGCACUGUAGAGGCAGGCGGAAUUCCGGGUGUAGCGGUGGAAUGCGUAGAGAUCCGGAAGAACACCGGUGGCGAAGGCAGGUCUCUGGGCCAUUACGUGACACUGAGAAGCGAAAGCAUGGGGAGCGAACGAGG